rnacentral:lncRNA from 1 species
GCCAUUGGCGUCGGAGGCACGAUUUGCCCAGCUUUCUAAGGAGGCGGAACUGGACAGAGCUCCUGGACCAGGCAAAUAGGAGCAAAGUUUUCGCGGCAUUCAUGGAGAUGCCCCAGCCACAGAGCCCACGGAAGAUCAGAGACACUGGACUCACACCACGGAGGGUCGGAACUCUUCUGCUGUGAAUCCCACCCAGAGAACAGAAGAGGAAGGGAACACCUGAAGGUGGAGUGGGGCUCCCGGAGCUAAUCUCUUCCGGACUCAGGUCACUGCAACCAAGGGCGGAGUAACCCGGGUGAGGCCGCCAGCCGGGAGGCUGAGAGAAGGGGUGGCCCAGCGGUCCCGGCGCCCCUAGACCGGCCGUCCGCCCCUGCUGUGACUCCACGCUUUCUUGGAGCCGGAUUCUUGCAUAUCUGUGGCUGCUUUGAGCGUCUCCAGGCCAGCGGCUCGUACAGCCAAGCGUGAAUAAGAAUAAGGGAGAUACUUAGGUCAGAGACUUAGACGCAUUUGACAAACAGACCUGCACCAUUCUGCUACGGUUGCUCAGGCAUUAUCUUGAGCCCCCUUUCUCUUUGGUGUUUUGGCAACCCACGGCGGCUAUUGGCAAGCUGCUGCUUUGCAGUACAAGCCAGAAAGCCAAGCAGACUCCCAGGGCCUGCAGAGGGUACGCUACACUGAGCAGCUACUUAGAGUACUCCAGGCUUGUGGUCCUUAGCCAGUGAGCACUCCUUGGGAGCCUGCUGAGACGGGUGCCUGCUCUGGACCUAGAGGCUGGUUGGCCUAACCUUUAGGCAAGAGGAAGGUAGUAGCAUGGACAGUGGCGGUUGUCACUAGAGAACCCACAUUCCUCAAAGUCAGUGUCUUGGGUCCAGGCAUCUUUCAUAAAACUGGUUGAGUUCACAGAAUUGUUUGGACUGGUUUUUAAAACUGGACAAAAGGCAAUUUUAAAUGACAGAAGAGGAAGUUUGAGG